UUUACCUAUGUCAUUGGUGCGUUUGUCAAAUUGACUGAUGUGUAUGUGUACAUAGAGUGAGGUUAAUUUUGGGUUUAUUAUUGUUGAAUAGAUAAGUUUAUUUUGGCAGAGAAGAGAAAACGAGGAUAAACCUUUCUUGCAGAAGAAAAAGACAAGCUAGUGAAAUUGCUGACGUCUCAUAGAGACACAAUAUUAAACAAAAAACGGAUGGGACCACGAACGAAGCCAAAAACAAAGCUUGGAUCCAGUUACAAAUAGUUUUAAUGCGAUAGGAACCGUUUUCAGUUUCAGGUGGUGCGAGAAAUUGGAAAGACGUGUAAAAACAUGCUGCGCCCAGCCCACCCCAAAUUGAAUUGGUGCAGGAGGAUGAUGAUAAUGUUUGGUACAUCAUAAGAGGACUAAUAUUAAAAUAUUUGUUUACUAUCUUUGUUUUAAUUUAUAUAUUUUAUUAUGUUUAAUAUUAGCCUACUUCUUACCUCCAGAGGGUAUCCCCUAUCACCUAGGAGAUAGGCUCCUCCAUAUUCACCAUUUUCGAAUCAUUGGUAUCUACUGCAGUUUUGGUAUUUAAGGCCAAUUCAAACCUGAGCGAUAUUCGCUGCCGCUGUGGGUAGAGGUACAUACCGCGCGGCAGCAGCGGCAUACGUCCCGAACAUCAACAGUAAUAUUAUCGCAUACCCACUGGGUUUUCUCUGUCGCAGGUGGUAGCGAAUACCGCUUAGGUCUGAACAGUCAUAUUACCGCAUACCCACAGGGUUUUCUCUGCCGUAGACGGUAGCGAAUACCGCUUAGGUCUGAAUAGGCCUAUAGAUGUCCCGGCCACCGCGAAACUACAUCAGUGAUUACCAGAUUUGCAUCUGUUAUGGUCUGUAUAUUUAUGGACAUGCAGGACUACCUAUUUUUGAAUAAUUCAGCGACAUCACGACCUAGCAAGUGCAUUCAUAGCAAGUGAUAACCUAUAAUCUAUAUCUAUACUAAUAUUAUAAAGAGGAAAAUGUUUGUUUGUUUGGUUGUAAUGGAUAAACUCAAAAACUACUGGACCGAUUUUAAAUAUUCUUUCACCAUUAGACAGCUAUAUUAUCUGCGAGUAACAUAGGCUAUAUUUUAUCCCGGUGCGGGCAGUAGCUCCCACGGGACG